GGAUGAACGCUGGCGGCGUGGAUAAGGCAUGCAAGUCGAACGGUUGAAUAUGUACUUGUAUAUGUUCAAUAGUGGCGAACGGGUUAGUAACACGUAGAUUACAUACCCUAUUCAUGGGCAUAACCCAUCGAAAGAUGGGCUAAUUCCCAAUAGUCCGGUUCGUCGGUAAAGGCGAAAGCCGGAAUAGGAAUGGUCUGCGGCUUAUCAGCUUGUUGGUGGGGUAAUGGCCUACCAAGGCGAUGACGGGUAGGGGAUAUGAGAGUAUGUUCCCCAACAGANGCACUGAGACACGGGCCUCACUCCUACGGGAGGCAGCAGUCGAGGAUAUUUCGACAAUGGGCGAAAGCCUGAUCGAGCGACGCCGCGUGCUCGAAGAAGCCCUUCGGGGUGUAAAAAGCUUUUCUCCGUGAAGAACCUUUUAGGUGACGGUAGCGGAGGAAUAAGGGGAUCCUAAUUCUGUGCCAGCAGGAGCGGUAAUACAGAAUCCCCGAGCGUUAUCCGGAUUUAUUGGGCGUAAAGGGUCCGUAGGCGUUUUGUUAGGUUUUCUGUUAAAUAUCCAGGGCUCAACCUUGGAAAUGCAGAAAAAACCGGCAAAAUUGAGGACGUUAGAGGCUGAUAGAACGGUCGGUGUAGGGGUGAAAUCCGUUGAUAUCGACCGGAAUACCAAAAGCGAAGGCAUUCAGCUGGGGCGAUCUGACGCUGAGGGACGAAAGCGUGGGCAUGGAAAAGGAUUUAGAUACCCUUGUACUCCACGCUGUAAACGAUGGACACUGGCUAUUUGAAGUGUCGACCCUUUCAAGUGGCGAAGCUAACGCGUUAAGUGUCCCGCCUGGGAAGUACGGCCGCAAGGCUAAAACUCAAAGGAAUAGACGGGGCCUCACACAAGCGGUGGAUCAUGUGGCUUAAUUCGUCAGUAAACGAGGAACCUUACCAGGGCUUGACAGAUUAGUGAAAUCCCGUAGAAACACGGGCCCUCCGCAAGGACACUAAUUCAGGUGCCGCAUGGUUGUCGUCAGCAUGUGCUGUGAAGUGCACCCUUAAAUGGGGUAACAUGCGCAACCCUCACUCUAUGUUUUAAAUGUCAUAGAGAACUGCCUGAGACAAUCAGGAGGAAGGCGAGGAUGACGCCAAAUCAGCAUGGCCUUUUGAUGCCCUGGGCCGCACACAUGAUACAAUGGAGUUUAACAAUGGGCGAAGCCGCAAGGCGGAGGGAAUCCCACCAAACGGCUCCUUAAUUCGGAUUGAGGUCUGCAACUCGACCUCAUGAAGCUGGAAUCGCUAGUAAUCGCCAAUCAGCUAUGUGGCGAUGAAUAUGUUCCUGAGGCUUGUACUCACCGCCCGUCAAACCAGGAGAGCUGAUAGUACCCUAAGUCCCUCUUUUGAGGGCCCAAGGUAAGAUCAGUAAU
rnacentral:rRNA from 1 species